UGCCUUAGUACGGCGAGUGAAGCGGCAAAAGCUCAAAUUUGAAAUCUGGUACCUUCGGUGCCCGAGUUGUAAUUUGGAGAGGGCAACUUUGGGGCCGUUCCUUGUCUAUGUUCCUUGGAACAGGACGUCAUAGAGGGUGAGAAUCCCGUGUGGCGAGGAGUGCGGUUCUUUGUAAAGUGCCUUCGAAGAGUCGAGUUGUUUGGGAAUGCAGCUCUAAGUGGGUGGUAAAUUCCAUCUAAAGCUAAAUAUUGGCGAGAGACCGAUAGCGAACAAGUACAGUGAUGGAAAGAUGAAAAGAACUUUGAAAAGAGAGUGAAAAAGUACGUGAAAUUGUUGAAAGGGAAGGGCAUUUGAUCAGACAUGGUGUUUUGUGCCCUCUGCUCCUUGUGGGUAGGGGAAUCUCGCAUUUCACUGGGCCAGCAUCAGUUUUGGUGGCAGGAUAAAUCCAUAGGAAUGUAGCUUGCCUCGGUAAGUAUUAUAGCCUGUGGGAAUACUGCCAGCUGGGACUGAGGACUGCGACGUAAGUCAAGGAUGCUGGCAUAAUGGUUAUAUGCCGCCCGUCUUGAACAACGGACCAAA
rnacentral:rRNA from 1 species